rnacentral:lncRNA from 1 species
AGAAUGUGGCUGCUCUAAUCCCACAUAAUGAACCAGAUUGUGCGCCCUCUCUGCACCCUAGGCACUAGACAAGCUGGUACAAGCUGUUGGCUUCAGCCUGCCUUACCGCCUUGGUGCACUGGACGUCCUUCCCCAGCAGCCAGUUGAGCUCCAGGUUGCCCUCGCCCUGGUAGCAGGACUGCAGGCGCUCCUUGAUCUGCAAGUUGAUGGCCCGGAUAGGGAAGGCACACAGGGCAGAGUCAUCGGGCGGGUGGUGAUACUGCUUCUGCCCUUUGGAGAAGAUGGCAAAGAGUACAUCGUCCUGGCUGGUGAUAUUGAAGGCCUGG